GAUGAACGCUAGCGGCAGGCCUAACACAUGCAAGUCGAGGGGUAACUAGAGUGAUAGCAAUAUUACUUUGGCUAGACCGGCGCACGGGUGCGUAACACGUAUGCAACCUACCUUAUACUGGGGAAUAACUUCGAGAAAUCGGCGCUAAUACCCCAUAACAUUGCGAAGAGGCAUCUCUUUGCAAUUAAAGCUCCGGCGGUAUAAGAUGGGCAUGCGUCCAAUUAGCUAGUUGGUGCGGUAACGGCGCACCAAGGCUACGAUCGGUAGGGGUUUGGAGAGGAUGAUCCCCCACACUGGUACUGAGACACGGACCAGACUCCUACGGGAGGCAGCAGUGAGGAAUAUUGCGCAAUGGACGAAAGUCUGACGCAGCCAUGCCGCGUGCAGGAUGACGGCCCUAUGGGUUGUAAACUGCUUUUGUACGGGAAUAAACCCUUCUACGUGUAGGAGGCUGAAGGUACCGUAAGAAUAAGCACCGGCUAACUCCGUGCCAGCCGCCGCAGUAAGAC
rnacentral:rRNA from 1 species